CUACGGGCGGCAGCAGCAGGGAAUAUUGCACAAUGGACGGAAGUCUGAUGCAGCGACGCCGCGUGGAUGAUGAAGGCCCUCGGGUUGUAAAAUCCUUUCAGGGGGACGAGGAAGGACGGUACCCUUGGAAUAAGCGUCGGCUAACUACGUGCCAGCAGCCGCGGUAAGACGUAGGACGCAAGCGUUAUCCGGAUAUACUGGGCGUAAAGCGUCUGUAGGCGGAAUGGUAAGUUGGACGUGAAAGCUCCGGGCUCAACUCGGAGAAGUCGUUCAAUACUGCCAAACUAGAGGGCAUCAGAGGAGCGUGGAAUUUCCGGUGUAGCGGUAAAAUGCGCAGAUAUCGGAAGGAACACCAAUGGCGAAGGCAGCGCUCUGGGAUGAACCUGACGCUAAGAGACGAAAGCUAGGGGAGCGAACAGGAUUAGAUACCCGGGUAGUC
rnacentral:rRNA from 1 species